UGAGGAAUCUGUCCAUCGGCGGGGGAUAGCCGGCCCAACGGCCGGGUAAUACCGCGUACGACCACAUGGGGACAUCCCUGAGUGGUGAAAGCAGCAAUGCGCCGAUGGAGUGCCUCGCGGCCUAUCAGCUAGUUGGUGGGGUAACGCCUACAAGGCAACGACGGGUAGCUGGUCUGAGAGGAUGGCCAGCCACAUUGGGACUGAGACACGGCCCAGACCUCCGUAGGGAGG
rnacentral:rRNA from 1 species